AACGAACGCUGGCGGCAUGCCUAACACAUGCAAGUCGAACGAGACCUUCGGGUCUAGUGGCGCACGGGUUCGUAACGCGUGGGAAUCUACCCUUGGGUUCGGAAUAACAGUUAGAAAUGACUGAUAAUACCGGAUGAUGACGUAAGUCCAAAGAUUUAUCGCCCAAGGAUGAGCCCGCGUAAGAUUGACUUGUUGGUGGGGUAAUGGCCUACCAAGGCGACGAUCUUUAGCUGGUCUGAGAGGAUGAUCAGCCACACUGGGACUGAGACACGGCCCAGACUCCUACGGGAGGCAGCAGUGGGGAAUAUUGGACAAUGGGCGAAAGCCUGAUCCAGCAAUGCCGCGUGAGUGAUGAAGGCCUUAGGGUCGUAAAGCUCUUUUACCAGGGAUGAUAAUGACAGUACCUGGAGAAUAAGCUCCGGCUAACUCCGUGCCAGCCGCCGCCGUAA
rnacentral:rRNA from 1 species